GAGUGGGACAGUAUUUUGAUGUCUAAGCCCUGUUAAAACUGUUUUAAAAAAAUUCUGUUAUAGUAUUUCUUCCUCUGUACUCCCCCCUUUUACAGAGCAGGGGCUUGGCACUCAGCGCGCAGUACACUCAGUAAGCACUUGGGGAAUGGAAUUAAGCCUUGGGCAUGCUGGUAUGUGCUCAUUUGCAAGGCAGUAUUAAAAAUUCCAUUUGAAUUUCCAAAUCCAGCUAGUUUCAACGGGGCAACGUCUUUUUUUCUCCCCCCUUAAAGAGAAGUGAGACCUGCAUAUUUAAAAGAAGUUCUUUACCUCCACCCCGCCUUCCCUGCCCUCCCCUCCCACCCACCAAUGAGAAGCCAAGGUGACCACUUUCUGUUCAGUUUCUUACAAGUCUAUUUAAAUGAACAUGCAGCCAGGGGGGUAAUCAGUCUGUCACCCGGUCAGCAACAUUGUUGAGUGGUUUCUCUGAGUAUUAGUCACCAAAAGAGGAUACCAAAGAAAUAGAAACCGUCAACUUUGUCCUUGUGUUGCUUCCAAUCUGCCAAGGAAACCAGGAACCAUGCAUGCAAUAAGGACAUUUACAAAGACACGCUGGUGGGCGAUUCCAGGAAGGAGACUCCUUAUUGCCAAAUGUGCGUGUAUCAUUGUAAAUCCCUCAGUAACACGGUGUUCGUUAUCCCCGUAACGAUCCUCUGAAACAAGAUCACGGUGUCCCAGCUGGAAAGAGCCCUGCUAAGAACCCAUCUUAUCCAGACCUCUCCCUCUGGGAGCGGGAAACCCGAGGCCCAGGAUUUUGUUCCUUAACUCCAAGGAAUGAGUUGAGUGGGGGCAAUUUCAGCCACCGUGGCGAGUUGGUAGAAGAAGCAGGUCAAUGAUGGCCUUGUCCCCAUGUGGGUCUCCUCUGCCUGCCUUGAGGGUUCUCCACUCCAACCAGGAUUCCCCAGGGUGACCGCCUUGUCCCCAGGACCACCUCUGUGCUGACGAGAAGGAAAGACUUCAGAAGGAAAGAGAGAGCAGAAAAUGGGAAGUGAGCAGCCAUGAAAAUGAAUGAAAUAGCACCAUUUGCAGCAACAUGGGUGGACCUGGAGAUGAUCAUACUAAGUGAAGUAAGUCAGAAGAAGACAGAUAUCACAUGACAUCAUGUAUGUGGAAUCUAAAAAACAACAUAUAAGUCAACUUAUUUACAAAAUAGAAAUGGACUCGCAGACAUAGAAAACAAACUUAUGGUUACUAAGGGGAAGUGGAGGAAGGAUAAGUUAGAAAUUUGGGAUUAACAUAUACACACCACUAUAAAAUCGGAGAAGGCGAUGGCACCCCACUCCAGUAUUCUU